rnacentral:rRNA from 1 species
AUGGAAGAUAUUCGCAAUCAAUCAGGUAGCAACAUAGAUGAAACUGAACUUGUGGGGUUUUCCAAGCCCAAACAAGAGUUGAUAAAUCUUAUAGAUGUCCAUGCCAAAACUGGCCCCGCUAAGGUAGUAUGCGUGGUUGGCAUGGGUGGCUUGGGUAAGACUACUCUUACAAGUAUUGAAAACUUUUCAUGUUGUGCUUGGAUCACUGUCUCGCAGUCAUUUGCCAGGAUGGAGCUUCUCAAAGUUAUGAUCAAAGAACUUUUUGGUGAUGAAGCAUUGAAGAGGCAACUUGAAGGGAAGGUAGUGCGAGCAGAUGAUCUGGUUGACUACCUUAGGAAAAAGCUACAUGACAAAAGGUACUUUGUUGUUCUUGAUGAUGUAUGGAACAUUGAUGAUUGGAUGUGGAUCAGUAGUUCUGUUUUUCCUAGGAAUAACAACAAAGAUCUCUUAUCUACCACCAUGCACCCCUAG